rnacentral:rRNA from 1 species
GACGGAGGGGGCUAGCGUUGUUCGGAAUUACUGGGCGUAAAGGGCGCGUAGGCGGAUUAGUAAGUUGGGAGUGAAAGCCCGGGGCUUAACCUCGGAACUGCUUUCAAAAACUGCUAGUCUAGAGUGAAGUAGGGGGUGAUGGAAUUCCUAGUGUAGAGGUGAAAUUCUUAGAUAUUAGGAGGAACACCGGUGGCGAAGGCGGUCACCUGGACUUCAACUGACGCUGAGGCGCGAAAGCGUGGGGAUCAAACAGG